AGGGUAUGGGGUUAUAGAGGGUAUGGGGUUAUAGAGGGUAUGGGUUAUAGAGGGUAUGGGUUAUAGAGGGUAUGGGGUUAUAGAGGGUAUGGGGUUAUAGAGGGUAUGGGGUUAUAGAGGGUAUGGGUUAUAGAGGGUAUGGGGUUAUAGAGGGUAUGGGUUAUAGAGGGUAUGGGGUUAUAGAGGGUAUGGGUUAUAGGGGUAUGGGUUAUAGAGGGUAUGGGGUAUAGAGGGUAUGGGGUUAUAGAGGGUAUGGGGUUAUAGAGGGUAUGGGUUAUAGAGGGUAUGGGGUUAUAGAGGGUAUGGGGUUAUAGAGGGUAUGGGUUAUAGAGGGUAUGGGGUUAUAGAGGGUAUGGGGUUAUAGAGGGUAUGGGUUAUAGGGGGUAUGGUUAUAGAGGGUAUGGGGUUAUAGAGGGUAUGGGGUUAUAGAGGGUAUGGGUUAUAGAGGGUAUGGGUUAUAGAGGGUAUGGGUUAUAGAGGGUAUGGGGUUAUAGAGGGUAUGGGUUAUAGAGGGUAUGUGUUAUAGAGGGUAUGGGGUUAUAGAGGGUAUGGGGUUAUAGAGGGUAUGGGUUAUAGAGGGUAUGGGGAAAUAGAGGGUAUGGGUUAUAGAGGGUAUGGGGUUAUAGAGGGUAUGGGGUUAUAGAG
ensembl:lncRNA